rnacentral:rRNA from 1 species
UACGAGGGGGGCAAGUGUUGUUCGGAAUCACUGGGCGUAAAGGGAGCGUAGGCGGAUGUUUAAGUCGGGAGUUUAAAACCGGGGCCCAACCCCGGAGCGGCUCCCGAAACUGGGCAUCUUGAAUAGGUCAGAGGCUGGUGGAAUUGGAGGUGUAGCGGUGAAAUGCGUAGAUAUCUGGAGGAACACCGGUGGCGAAGGCGGCAUCCUGGACCGGUAUUGACACUGAGGCGCGAAAGCCAGGGGAGCAAACGGG